UGCUAAGAUGAAUUAUAUAUGAAUUAUGAACUUAUACAUUUCAUGUAUGAUAUAGAAAGGAAAUUUGAAAAAGAUAUUAGCAUGUCAUUUUCAGAGUGGGUCAGCAUGUCAUAAUCCAGCAUUCAUCAAUCCUCAUGCUCCAUGAAGUGUGACAGUGCCCAAUAUCAAUAGCUGCAGACCCAUCCAGUUGGAUGCGGUCCACCUUUUUUAUAUUCCCCCCAUUAUAUUUGUUUUGAUACACCCCGACCACGUGAUGACAUUAGCUUGAGAAUGUUUCACGGUCUUUCGUUGUUAAGAUGGUAAGAUCCUUAACAAUGAUGCAUAGCCAAGUGGAUGAUGUAACACAUAAUAUACAAACUGGACGGUUCCGCACCAAUGGUUCUUCUGAUGUGACAUCUUAUACAGGAGAAAAUUUGGGGCACUAUUUGUAUGAAAUUUAUCGUGCUAGACUUGGUUUAAAACCCAACUCAAAUUCGGC
rnacentral:lncRNA from 1 species